rnacentral:rRNA from 1 species
UGGGGAAUAUUGCACAAUGGGCGCAAGCCUGAUGCAGCCAUGCCGCGUGUGUGAAGAAGGCCUUCGGGUUGUAAAGCACUUUCAGUGGGGAGGAAGGCGAUAAGGUUAAUAACCUUGUCGAUUGACGUUACCCGCAGAAGAAGCACCGGCUAACUCCGUGCCAGCAGCCGCGGUAAUACGGAGGGUGCAAGCGUUAAUCGGAAUUACUGGGCGUAAAGCGCACGCAGGCGGUCUGUCAAGUCGGAUGUGAAAUCCCCGGGCUCAACCUGGGAACUGCAUUCGAAACUGGCAGGCUAGAGUCUUGUAGAGGGGGGUAGAAUUCCAGGUGUAGCGGUGAAAUGCGUAGAGAUCUGGAGGAAUACCGGUGGCGAAGGCGGCCCCCUGGACGAAGACUGACGCUCAGGUGCGAAAGCGUGGGGAGCAAACAGG